UACGUAGGGUGCGAGCGCUGUCCGGAAUUAUUGGGCGUAAAGAGCUCGUAGGCGGUGUGUCACGUCGGCCGUGAAAACCUGCAGCUUAACUGUGGGCGUGCGGUCGAUACGGGCAUCACUGGAGUUCGGUAGGGGAGACUGGAAUUCCUGGUGUAGCGGUGAAAUGCGCAGAUAUCAGGAGGAACACCGGUGGCGAAGGCGGGUCUCUGGGCCGAUACUGACGCUGAGGAGCGAAAGCGUGGGGAGCAAACAGG
rnacentral:rRNA from 1 species